rnacentral:rRNA from 1 species
CAGUCGCCGCGGGAAUACGUAAGUGGCAAGCGUUGUCCGGAAUUAUUGGGCGUAAAGGGCUCGCAGGCGGUUUCUUAAGUCUGAUGUGAAAGCCCCCGGCUCAACCGGGGAGGGUCAUUGGAAACUGGGAAACUUGAGUGCAGAAGAGGAGAGUGGAAUUCCACGUGUAGCGGUGAAAUGCGUAGAGAUGUGGAGGAACACCAGUGGCGAAGGCGACUCUCUGGUCUGUAACUGACGCUGAGGAGCGAAAGCGUGGGGAGCGAACAGGAUUAGAUACCCGAGUAGUCCCUGUCUCUUAUAC